CUUAUAUAUUCUUGAUCAGCAUCAAUAGCCGAGUCGAUUGAGGCAUGUCUGUCUGUCAUUCUGGCUUUAACAUUGAUUAAAUCUGAUCCCACUUCGGUGAUCUGAUAGAUAUGGUUCUUUCCUACGGAAUGGCAUUUAUAUCUUUUAUCUAUUUAUACCCGGUACUCGAAGAAUAAAUAGGGUAUAUUGUAUUUGUACACAAAGUGAAUGUAUGUAACACACAGAAGGAAAUGUUUCCGACACCAUAAAGUAUAUAUAUUCGUGAUCAGCAACAAUAGCCGAGUCGAUUGAGCCAUGUCUGUCUGCCCGUCUGUCCGUCCGUCUUGUUGAGCGCCUGGAUCUCAGCGACCCCAAAAGCUAGAGCCACCAAAUUUUGCAUUCAGACUUCUGUAUGCUCAGACUGUUACAAGUGUAUUUCAAAAAUGAGCCACGUUCCCUUCCGCCCCCGCAAAGGGGCGAAAACCUCCCAAAUCUACAAUUUUGAAGAUAAAAGAAAACUAACGAGAAGGGACGUGUGAGACGCUUCUUACGCGUCACAACUUUUAUACCCGGCACUNNNNNNNNNNNNNNNNNNNNNNNNNNNNNNAUUUUUUAUGAUGGCCACAGCCUCGUAGUGUGUCUGACUACCAGAGUAGUUUUUGAAAACUUCGUACGCAUCUAGAGCAGAUUGUCUCCAAGACACAUAUUCCUCAUGAUUCCCGUUGAAAGUUGGUACUGAUUUUAUGAUAUCUAGUUUCACUUCACAUUUUAUACUAGUGUCAAUGGUCACUCUCUUAUAAGUUUCCACAUGAGGGACACCUACAGUUAGAGCGCUCACACUAUUUCUAACUUUUUCGAGUUCCCUGCUAAAUUCUGCACUCAGUCGUCGUUCCUGUUCGACGAGGGCUGUGUUGAUUGCGCCUUCUACUAACGCUUUUAUCAUGGCUGGGUCCAUUUUUAAUUGAUUCUGCACUGUUCUGACUGGUGGCUGGUACAAUAAGUCUAGGCUCUCGUCGCUGUCGUAUUCGACCUUGUUUCUGUAGUCCCAACUCAUAAACGAUCAGCGAAGGGGAGAUCAAAAUUCUCUCACAAGCUUUAUUUUUUCCGAACAGUCACUUACAUGUUAUUUUUCUUGGGGACGUGGAUCCUAAAUCCCGUUGGGCGCCAAUUAUCUUUAUGGCGCGUUUUUUAGUCCGCUCUUAGGAACGUGGAUCCUAAAUCCCGUUGGGCGCCAAUUAACUUAAUGUCGUAUUUGGUCCGAGCUGCGGUAUGCGUUGCGUUGGCUCCGGCGGCAGCGAUCGGGUUCCCGUGGCCCGCUCUUGUAGCGGGGGACGGUGGUUGCGGUUGGCAACUGAGUCUUCUACCGAAGAUUAUGUUGAGAGGGUAAUUGCCCUCUAUUUCGUUGGCCCUUAAGGCUCAACAAUAUGAUUAUAUCAAUACACGUUUUACGACUCGUGUCGGAGUUGAUAUGAACGCUCCGUUCAUUUAUUCGUCCAAUUCUAAACUAAAGCUUACUUCUAAACCUACACCGAAACCUAGCCGGCGAGCCGUCCGCGCUCACAAGAGAUAAGAGCCGCCUACGCAUAAACAAGAUCAUGCGAUCGCUGGCGCCCAAUCAGUUCACAGAGCCGCCCGCUGCAACGGCAUCUACUGCAUCGGCGCCCUCCGUAUCGGACUGGAUAAGUUAGGGCGGCACAUGAUAUUUCACAUUUCUUGUGCGCUAAGUUAGGGUGUUCCAUGUUAUUGCUUAUGUGUUAACUUA
rnacentral:lncRNA from 1 species